UCUUUGUAGAAAUGCUGCUCCUGCCAGGUGUUGUGUCGAACUCAGUCUCUCUGUCGGGAUAGGCUUCACCUAGCCCCGCCACCGCCCCCGCUGAGACCGCGAAAAAAAUUGCGCGUGAACAAAAAAACUCGCGGCCGAGAUGCUGUGCUCGUACCAGUGAGGUUUAUCACACACUUCAAGUCCCGCCAGGCGCGCGAGGCUGAAAUCAAGACAACUGCAAAGGAGGUCAACAGCAAGUAGGUGCAUGAGAGCCAAGAGCAGGUGAUGAGGGUCAAUGGCUGCUCUAAAGAGGCUUCCCUCUCCAGUCAGGGGACACAGGCUGCCGAAAAGCCUGUGCUGAUCCAUCAUCAACCUGCAUAACCUUCUGGCAAAGUCACGGAUGCUAUUACGAUGCAGGCUCAGAAUCCCACUGGAAAUAACACAAGCAUCCAGGAAGUCAAGCCUCGCCCAAGAACACACAGGGCUACGCAGAACUUCCAGCUGUAGAGUGAGUCACAUCUGUCUGUUUGUAUAUCAGUGUGGCACAGUGUGUCCUCCAAACUCUCCACGGCUGCUUCACAAACCACAUCCCACUCUACUAAUGGGGUGUGUUAUCUUGCUAGAUUAGGGUUUAGCAGAAUAUUACUGAAUUUGUCCUGUGGCUACAACCCAAACUGCUAGUAUACAACAACAAAAAAAGGUGUCAAAACAGAUUCCUUUUAGGAGUUAGCAUUAGCCUGCUACUUAGCUACCUGACCAUUUCCUGUGCCUGUGUUAAAAACGGCAUCCUGCUUCUAUGCUAUGCUGCAA